GUUGACCUCGGAUCAGGUAGGGAUACCCGCUGAACUUAAGCAUAUCAAUAAGCGGAGGAAAAGAAACCAACAGGGAUUGCCCUAGUAACGGCGA
rnacentral:rRNA from 1 species